rnacentral:rRNA from 1 species
AGUGAACGCUGGCGGUAGGCCUAACACAUGCAAGUCGAACGGCAGCACAGUAAGAGCUUGCUCUUACGGGUGGCGAGUGGCGGACGGGUGAGGAAUACAUCGGAAUCUACUUUUUCGUGGGGGAUAACGUAGGGAAACUUACGCUAAUACCGCAUACGACCUACGGGUGAGAGCAGGGGAUCUUCGGACCUUGCGCGAUUGAAUGAGCCGAUGUCGGAUUAGCUAGUUGGCGGGGUAAAGGCCCACCAAGGCGACGAUCCGUAGCUGGUCUGAGAGGAUGAUCCGCCAACCUGGAACUUAGAAACGGUCCAGACUCCCAAGGGAGGCAGCAGGUGGGAAUAUUGGACAAUGGGCGCAAGCCUGAUCCAGCCAUACCGCGUGGGUGAAGAAGGCCUUCGGGUUGUAAAGCCCUUUUGUUGGGAAAGAAAAGCAGCAGGUUAAUACCCCGCUGUUCUGACGGUACCCAAAGAAUAAGCACCGGCUAACUUCGUG